rnacentral:rRNA from 1 species
UGGGGAAUAUUGCACAAUGGGCGCAAGCCUGAUGCAGCCAUGCCGCGUGUGUGAAGAAGGCCUUCGGGUUGUAAAGCACUUUCAGCGAGGAGGAAGGUGGUGAGCUUAAUACGCUCAUCAAUUGACGUUACUCGCAGAAGAAGCACCGGCUAACUCCGUGCCAGCAGCCGCGGUAAUACGGAGGGUGCAAGCGUUAAUCGGAAUUACUGGGCGUAAAGCGCACGCAGGCGGUUUGUUAAGUCAGAUGUGAAAUCCCCCGGGCUCAACCUGGGAACUGCAUUUGAAACUGGCAAGCUAGAGUCUCGUAGAGGGGGGUAGAAUUCCAGGUGUAGCGGUGAAAUGCGUAGAGAUCUGGAGGAAUACCGGUGGCGAAGGCGGCCCCCCUGGACGAAGGACUGACCGCUCAGGGUGCGAAAAGGCGUGGGGGCAGCAAAACAGGAUUAGAUACCCUGGUAGUCCACGCUGUAAACGAUGUCGAUUUGGAGGUUGUGCCCUUGAGGCGUGGCUUCCGGAGCUAACGCGUUAAAUCGACCGCC